CCUACGGGAGGCAGCAGUGGGGAAUAUUGGACAAUGGGGGGAACCCUGAUCCAGCCAUGCCGCGUGUGUGAAGAAGGCCCUCGGGAUGUAAAGCACUUUCAGUGAGGAAGAACGCCUGGUGGUUAAUACCCAUCAGGAAAGACAUCACUCACAGAAGAAGCACCGGCUAACUCCGUGCCAGCAGCCGCGGUAAUACGGAGGGUGCGAGCGUUAAUCGGAAUUACUGGGCGUAAAGCGCGCGUAGGUGGCUUGAUAAGCCGGUUGUGAAAGCCCCGGGCUCAACCUGGGAACGGCAUCCGGAACUGUCAAGCUAGAGUGCAGGAGAGGAAGGUAGAAUUCCCGGUGUAGCGGUGAAAUGCGUAGAGAUCGGGAGGAAUACCAGUGGCGAAGGCGGCCUUCUGGACUGACACUGACACUGAGGUGCGAAAGCGUGGGUAGCAAACAGGAUUAGAUACCCCAGUAGUC
rnacentral:rRNA from 1 species